CCUACGGGCGGCAGCAGUGGGGAAUAUUGGACAAUGGGGGGAACCCUGAUCCAGCCAUGCCGCGUGUGUGAAGAAGGCCCUCGGGUUGUAAAGCACUUUCAGUGAGGAAGAACGCCUGGUGGUUAAUACCCAUCAGGAAAGACAUCACUCACAGAAGAAGCACCGGCUAACUCCGUGCCAGCAGCCGCGGUAAUACGGAGGGUGCGAGCGUUAAUCGGAAUUACUGGGCGUAAAGCGCGCGUAGGUGGCUUGAUAAGCCGGUUGUGAAAGCCCCGGGCUCAACCUGGGAACGGCAUCCGGAACUGUCAAGCUAGAGUGCAGGAGAGGAAGGUAGAAUUCCCGGUGUAGGGGUGAAAUGCGUAGAGAUCGGGAGGAAUACCAGUGGCGAAGGCGGCCUUCUGGACUGACACUGACACUGAGGUGCGAAAGCGUGGGUAGCAAACAGGAUUAGAUACCCGAGUAGUC
rnacentral:rRNA from 1 species